UACGUAGGGUGCAAGCGUUAAUCGGAAUUACUGGGCUUUAAAGGGUGCGUAGGCGGUGCAGCAAGUCGGGAGUGAAAUACCUCAGCUUAACUGAGAACUGCUUCGAUACUGCUGUGCUUGAGUUGGAGACAGAGGUAAGCGGAACUUAGGGUGGAGCGGUGAAAUGCGUUGAUAUCCUAAGGAACACCGGUGGUGAAGGCGGGCUUACUGGGUCUCUACUGACG
rnacentral:rRNA from 1 species